UCCUGGCUCAGAUUGAACGCUGGCGGCAGGCCUAACACAUGCAAGUCGAGCGGUAGCACAGAGAGCUUGCUCUUGGGUGACGAGCGGCGGACGGGUGAGUAAUGUCUGGGAAACUGCCUGAUGGAGGGGGAUAACUACUGGAAACGGUAGCUAAUACCGCAUAACGUCGCAAGACCAAAGUGGGGGACCUUCGGGCCUCAUGCCAUCAGAUGUGCCCAGAUGGGAUUAGCUAGUAGGUGGGGUAAUGGCUCACCUAGGCGACGAUCCCUAGCUGGUCUGAGAGGAUGACCAGCCACACUGGAACUGAGACACGGUCCAGACUCCUACGGGAGGCAGCAGUGGGGAAUAUUGCACAAUGGGCGCAAGCCUGAUGCAGCCAUGCCGCGUGUAUGAAGAAGGCCUUCGGGUUGUAAAGUACUUUCAGCGAGGAGGAAGGCGUUAAGGUUAAUAACCUUGGCGAUUGACGUUACUCGCAGAAGAAGCACCGGCUAACUCCGUGCCAGCAGCCGCGGUAAUACGGAGGGUGCAAGCGUUAAUCGGAAUUACUGGGCGUAAAGCGCACGCAGGCGGUCUGUUAAGUCAGAUGUGAAAUCCCCGGGCUCAACCUGGGAACUGCAUUUGAAACUGGCAGGCUUGAGUCUUGUAGAGGGGGGUAGAAUUCCAGGUGUAGCGGUGAAAUGCGUAGAGAUCUGGAGGAAUACCGGUGGCGAAGGCGGCCCCCUGGACAAAGACUGACGCUCAGGUGCGAAAG
rnacentral:rRNA from 1 species